rnacentral:sRNA from 1 species
GGAUAUAAGGGCAAUCUGACUGCAACAUCUGUCACCCUAUUAUGUCUAAGGUCAAUUUGGCUAAUCUGUUUUGCUAAGCAGGUGCUCCCUUUAUGCUUCAUUGUCUGCUGUACUCCCAAAACUAUGAGCUCAGUUGAAAAAGACAACUUUCCCUGAUGGAGGAUUAUUGGGUUUUGGUCAAGAGUAAGAUGGACAUGACUGAAAAAGACUGAAUGGACUGGAUCCUCCUGCUAGAAAGGAGACUGAAGUGAGGUCCUAUUUU